rnacentral:tRNA from 1 species
AGUUUUAUAUUUUAUGAUGAAAAUUUUAAAUUGCAAAUUUAAAGAUGGUUAGGUUUAACUUAAAACUU